rnacentral:pre_miRNA from 1 species
UUUUUACGAUAAGUAUAUCCCAGGCAGUAUUUGGGAUAUACUUAUCCUAAAA